rnacentral:rRNA from 1 species
CUACGUGCCAGCAGCCGCGGUAAUACGUAUGUCGCAAGCGUUAUCCGGAAUUAUUGGGCAUAAAGGGCAUCUAGGCGGCCAGAUAAGUCUGGGGUGAAAACUUGCGGCUCAACCGCAAGCCUGCCCUGGAAACUAUGUGGCUAGAGUACUGGAGAGGUGGACGGAACUGCACGAGUAGAGGUGAAAUUCGUAGAUAUGUGCAGGAAUGCCGAUGAUGAAGAUAGUUCACUGGACGGUAACUGACGCUGAAGUGCGAAAGCUAGGGGAGCAAACAGGAUUAGAUACCCUGGUAGUCCUAGCUGUAAACGAUGAUUACUGGGUGUGGGCAUGAAGAGUGUCCGUGCCGAAGUUAAUGCGAUAAGUAAUCCGCCUGGGGAGUACGGCCGCAAGGCUGAAACUCAAAGGAAUUGACGGGGACCCGCACAAGCGGUGGAUGAUGUGGAUUAAUUCGAUGCAACGCGAAGAACCUUACCUGGUCUUGACAU